AAUUGAAUUAGGGUUUUGGAUUUUUAAAGCUGCGUUCUUCUUUUGCUGCGCCUCCCUCUUCGCGUAGCCGUUGCGUUUGGCCGCCGCCUCCUGCUCUCUCUCUCGAAGCCGGAUUUUGCCGACCGCCUGCCCUUCGUCGCCUCGCCAGAGUCACGGCUGCACAGAAUUCUUCGUCGGCGCCGCUCCGGUUAGUACGCCAGCACUGCCACUGCGUAGUCCUGUGCUCCGCCCACGCCCGGAUGUUCCCCUCACCCCUACGCCGGGAGUCGCACAUUGUGGCCCUCGUGAUCCCCCCGCCCUACUUUCCGGAGAGCACGUGCACUGUACCAAUCGAUCUCCCCCUUGCCCCAGGACGCACGCACGACUUGUUUGCACCGUUGCCUGUUCGGUCGUCUUCUGCGCUGCUCGAGCAGCCGUUCGUCAUGCAGCCUCCGCCGCAUAUUGCUGCCGUACAUGGAGUCGAAGCAGAUAGUCGCCCUCCCAUAUCUAUUGUCAUGUAAAAGGAGGAGAGAAACAACCCCUGCCAAGCAACUGUGAUCGUUGGCCCUUGCCUUAAGCGUCCAAUGGUGACAGGUCUUAUGUUCCCCUUGGAUAGUUCAAGUUUUAUCAUAUCGUUUUUUGGGGGUGCUAACCUUGAUUUUUAGUUCUAAGAUUGAAACUCAGAGCUAUUAUUAGAGGUGGCAGUCACUCGUCGAUGUGUAGAGGCAGUUGAGGAUAUAGAAGAGGAAAUUCUAUCCUGAUGACAUCAUAUUGGAUUGAUGAUAUUAUGACGAUUUUAUUAGUUUGCAUUUCAUUAGAAGAGGAAAUCACAGAUUGAGGUUUACAUUGUUUUGAUUUGGAGUUUUGAACAAUGUUGUAUCGUCGAGGUGACUUGUUAAUAUAAUGGAGUAGGAUAUCAUAGAGAGUUAUAUUAUUGUGAUGUCUCAGUGGUAGGAAGCUUGUUGAUCUAUCUACUUAGAGUAUUUUAUUGUAGUUGUAUUCGUAUACCUAUUUGUCCCUUGUAUUGUUGAUUUUUGAUAAUUUGCAUAUAUGAAAGAUCAUAUGAUGUGUGUUUAUGCCAUUAUGUAGUGGUAACAUAUUAUAUCUUUUAUCAUAGUUUAGUUUAUCUAUAUAGUUAUCUGCACACAAUAUUAUGUAUGACGGUUUGUGUGGUUGGUUCAAUAUGAUAUUGAUUUAAGUCUUCAGCAUGUAGUGAUGUAGACUAAUUAGGUUGUUUUUGGAUGAAUAGAGUAAUGCAAUUAUUUAUUGCCAUGAGAGUUGAUAUAUUACUUAUGAGAGUAGGUAAUUAGAUUCAUAGUCCUAGGUUAAGACAUGGUGGUUAUAGAACAUAACCUAACAUAACACUUAAUAUUCUACUUGUGGACGAGGGUUUUUGAUGAAUGAUGAUGGUUAAGGAUAUGCCUACAGUAAAUGUUGAUUUUAGCGUGAUAAGGGUAUUAGGCUGAUUUGAUUGUGCCAUGACCAGCCUUAGGUUGAUCUUUUUAUCCAAUUACUGCUAUUACAAUUAUUGUUAAAUCUAUCUUGCUUCUAAUGAUGUUAAUUGGUUUGAUUUUCAUGAAAUUCAGUUAGCUGCUAUGUGCUUUGUUUUGUAAUAUCAAUUGUUACAUUUUCUGAUUCUAGAAUCUUGUAAUUAUUUUGCACAUAUAUAUUUGACUUAGCACUAUGCUAGUACUAUGCACGGGCACUUGAAACUUAUAAAUUCAUGAAAAUUGAACUUUUUUUCAUUCAUUUGGCUGAUCUUUACUCCCUAAUAUCAAUGUGCCUGAUAUUUUUUUUACUGUAUAAUUGUAGUGAAACAAAAUCAUUCAAGUGAUGA